rnacentral:lncRNA from 1 species
AGAAAGUGAAAGCAUGUUUGGGAAGUAUUUGUAAGUGGUUUUAAAUUAUAAGUAUUUAGAAAUGAGUGGUUGGUGGAUAAGUGGGUAGCAUAAGCAUUUUCUUGUAGAACUUCAUUAGCUUAAAGAAAAUCUCAGGAAAUCCAACAAUUGUCCAGCUCCUUCCAAGCUCAAGCAUCCUGAUUUUUGGUACAAAAAUCUUUAGGGGGAUUAGGUGGUACUGAAUUUUUUGUUUAAUUGCCUCUUUGUUUGACUGCUAGAAAGUGAAAGCAUGUUUGGGAAGUAUUUUUAAGUGAUUUUAAAUUAUAAGUAGAUAGAAAUGAGUGGUGGUGGAUAAGUGGGUAGUAUAAGCAUUUUCCUGUACAACUUCAUUAGCUUAAAAAAAUCUCAGCAAAAUCCUACAUUUCUCCAGCUCCUUCCAGCUCAAGCAUCCCGAUUUUUGGUACAAAAAGUAACCUUCCUACUCCAAGAUGUGACGAAGGGAUAAUGCAGUUGCCUAAUGGUAAGCCCAUUUCAUUCAAAGAAUUAAAGAACUACAAUUGCAAAUUUUUUACAUAACAGUAGCAUUUGGUUCCUUAUAAAGAG